GAUGAACGCUGGCGGCGUGCCUAAUACAUGCAAGUCGAGCGAACGGACGAGAAUCUUGCUUCUCUGAUGUUAGCGGCGGACGGGUGAGUAACACGUGGAUAACCUACCUAUAAGACUGGGAUAACUUCGGGAAACCGGAGCUAAUACCGGAUAAUAUUUUGAACCGCAUGGUUCAAAAGUGAAAGACGGUCUUGCUGUCACUUAUAGAUGGAUCCGCGCUGCAUUAGCUAGUUGGUAAGGUAUCGGCUUACCAAGGCAACGAUGCAUAGCCGACCUGAGAGGGUGAUCGGCCACACUGGAACUGAGACACGGUCCAGACUCCUACGGGAGGCAGCAGUAGGGAAUCUUCCGCAAUGGGCGAAAGCCUGACGGAGCAACGCCGCGUGAGUGAUGAAGGUCUUCGGAUCGUAAAACUCUGUUAUUAGGGAAGAACAUAUGUGUAAGUAACUGUGCACAUCUUGACGGUACCUAAUCAGAAAGCCACGGCUAGCUACGUG
rnacentral:rRNA from 1 species